AGAAGACCGAUUAAUAGAUGACAGUGC
rnacentral:piRNA from 1 species